rnacentral:rRNA from 1 species
GACGAACGCUGGCGGCGUGCCUAAUACAUGCAAGUAGAACGCUGAAGGAGGAGCUUGCUUCUCUGGAUGAGUUGCGAACGGGUGAGUAACGCGUAGGUAACCUGCCUGGUAGCGGGGGAUAACUAUUGGAAACGAUAGCUAAUACCGCAUAAUAGUAGAUGUUGCAUGACAUUUGCUUAAAAGGUGCAAUUGCAUCACUACCAGAUGGACCUGCGUUGUAUUAGCUAGUUGGUGAGGUAACGGCUCACCAAGGCAACGAUACAUAGCCGACCUGAGAGGGUGAUCGGCCACACUGGGACUGAGACACGGCCCAGACUCCUACGGGAGGCAGCAGGAGGGAAUCUUCGGCAAUGGACGGAAGUCUGACCGAGCAACGCCGCGUGAGUGAAGAAGGUUUUCGGAUCGUAAAGCUCUGUUGUAAGAGAAGAACGAGUGUGAGAGUGGAAAGUUCACACUGUGACGGUAGCUUACCAGAAAGGGACGGCUAACUACGUG